UGGGGGGGGGGGGGGGGGGGGGGGGGGGGGGGGGGGGGGGGGGGGUUGGGGGGGGGGGGGGGGGGGGGGUGGGGGGGGGGGUGGGGGGGGGGGGGGGAGGGGGGGGGCGGGGGGGGCCGCCGCGGGGGGGGGCGGGGGCGCGGGGGGGGCGGGGGGGGGGGGGGGGGGGGGGGGGGGGGGGGGGGGGGGGGGGGGGGGGGGGGGGGGGGGGGGGGGGGGGGGGGGGGCU